rnacentral:rRNA from 1 species
UACAGAGGUCUCGAGCGUUGUUCGGAUUCAUUGGGCGUAAAGGGUGCGUAGGCGGCGAUGUAAGUCGGGUGUGAAAUCCCGGGGCUCAACCCCGGAACUGCAUUCGAUACUGCAUUGCUUGAGGACUGGAGAGGAGACUGGAAUUCACGGUGUAGCAGUGAAAUGCGUAGAUAUCGUGAGGAAGACCGGUGGCGAAGGCGGGUCUCUGGACAGUUCCUGACGCUGAGGCACGAAGGCCAGGGGAGCAAACGGG